rnacentral:rRNA from 1 species
GUGAGGAAUAUUGGUCAAUGGGCGGGAGCCUGAACCAGCCAAGUCGCGUGAAGGAAGAAGGAUCUAUGGUUCGUAAACUUCUUUUGCAGGGGAAUAAAGUGCAGGACGUGUCCUGUUUUGUAUGUACCCUGAGAAUAAGGAUCGGCUAACUCCGUGCCAGCAGCCGCGGUAAUACGGAGGAUCCGAGCGUUAUCCGGACUUAUUGGGUUUAAAGGGUGCGUAGGUGGUUUGAUAAGUCAGCGGUGAAAGUUUGCAGCUUAACUGUAAAAAUGCCGUUGAAACUGUCGGACUUGAGUGUAAAUGAGGUAGGCGGAAUGCGUGGUGUAGCGGUGAAAUGCAUAGAUAUCACGCAGAACUCCGAUUGCGAAGGCAGCUUACUAAGCUACAACUGACACUGAAGCACGAAAGCGUGGGGAUCAAACAGGAUUAGAUACCCCAGUAGUCC